rnacentral:rRNA from 1 species
GUGGGGAAUCUUCCGCAAUGGACGAAAGUCUGACGGAGCAACACCGCGUGAGUGAUGAAGGUCUUCGGAUUGUAAAGCUCUGUUAAUCGGGACGAAAGAGCCUAGUGUGAAUAAUGCUAGGAAGUGACGGUACCGGAAUAGAAAGCCACGGCUAACUACGUGCCAGCAGCCGCGGUAAUACGUAGGUGGCAAGCGUUGUCCGGAAUUAUUGGGCGUAAAGCGCGCGCAGGCGGAUCUGCCAGUCUGUCUUAAAAGUUCGGGGCUUAACCCCGUGAUGGGAUGGAAACUACAGAUCUAGAGUAUCGGAGAGGAAAGUGGAAUUCCUAGUGUAGCGGUGAAAUGCGUAGAUAUUAGGAAGAACACCAGUGGCGAAGGCGACUUUCUGGACGAAAACUGACGCUGAGGCGCGAAAGCCAGGGGAGCGAACGGGAUUAGAUACCCGGGUAGUCC